GCUGGGCGUGGUGACGCAUGCCUGUAGUCCCAGCUACUCAGGAGGCUGAGGCAUAAGAAUUGCUUGAACCCAGGAGGUGGAGACUGCAGUGAGCUGAGAUCACCCCACUGUACUCCAGCCUGGGUGACAGAGCAAGACUCUGUCUCAA
rfam:Nomascus leucogenys chromosome 4, whole genome shotgun sequence.